GCUUCCAAUGAGACAGCUAGGCUGCCUGCACUUCCUGCUCGUUCCCACUGACCAACUAGCAAAGCGAACUCUGCAUGUGGAUUGGGAUUAGUUAACCUCGCCGACCAAUUGCAUUGGACCUUUAGAAUUUCUCUGUUCAGACUAGCGUUGCAUCUGCUCAUGACUAGGCGUAGAAGUGCUGUACUGUAACGCACUGUAAUUGCUGGGCUCUUAUGUCAAUUUCAUAUGAGAGGUGGACAGAACUAGAAGGUGUGAUGCUCCUACUGACAUCUUCAUAGCUCUAUAAGAGGAAAGGUUCAGCAAGAGUGGCUGUGAGCGCGUGUUUCCUUCCGUUUCCGCAUGCAAACAUUUUUGUUGAUGAACAAAAAAGCAUCAAGAUCUGUUCUGAACAUAUCCAAACCUACAUUUUACACCAACCUGCAAUGCCUGCCUGAAAAGUUGUUUAGCAUAAACAACAGCAAUGAUCAAUAAGCUGACUACAUAAAUGGAAUAGAAGCUAGUAACGUAUGGCUGAUUCCUGGAAAGAAAGAGGCAGAUUAAGUGACUCAAUCUUCUACUUCCAUUUCCAAUCCAUAACUGAAGAGUGUCUGCCACAAAUGCAACUGGUCAAGAACAAUGUUAAAAACUUAAAAGUACUAUAGCCUUUUGCUUGCAAAUGUUGCCUUUUCCUGCUCUGAAUAUCCAAGAUGGAGGCAGAAGUAUUAAAUGAGACUUGCUAAAGUCAAUCUCUCUUGCUGGUGAAACAGUGUGCUCAAAUGCCAGCUUUCUUGCAACUUUAGGUUAUGGGAGCCUAUUCCUAUUCCUCCCCCCCCCUCAAAUUGUGCUGGGAGGCAAAGUGCCUUGUAAAUCAUGUUUCCUGCAGCCUGACAAACAGCUGUUUGGUGUGCUGGAGAAAGUGAGAUUGCAAUGAGGAAGAAGCACAAGUAAGUGUCAUCAUCCUGUGUCCUCCCCUCUCAUGUAAAUCACAUCCCGCUUAGUACACCAAUAAGCCUAUUAGCAGACUGAGAAUGAUGUGAUCUCUGAUGUGAUUAUCUGUGCAUACUUGCACCACUGACACGAGGGUUCAAACUGCCUACCCACUACCGGAUGUGGCCAUUGAGGGUUGCCCACUUUUAACAACUGCUCAUUCAUCACUCCAAUUGUAAUUUUGCUAGAAACCUGUUAACACUGAUAUUAAAAUGAAAUGUGGUA